rnacentral:misc_RNA from 1 species
AAAAAGCAGAAGGAAGAUUCUGAAUAAAUCAUUUUGACUUGCGGGCUACAUCUAUACUUAUUCGCUGUUGCUCUUCCUCUAAAAAUUUUCUUUUGCAUUGUAGCAUUCUGAUGAAAUUGAAAUCAAGGGAGAAGUGUAGGUGUAAGAGGUGUGAGAUUUCUUUACUUGCUUCGCUAUACAUUUGUUUGCUCAUGAAAUUUUAGUUACUCUCAGAGAAGUAUAAUGCUUCAAGUCACAAAUGCUAAAGAAUAGUGUUAGCAGGUUCAUUUUUGUGCAUGUGCCUUGUAGUUGAGAACUUUUUGACCCUGCUCCCAGUGUUAAUACGUCUGCUAUUUUCACCUGGGAUCUAUUACCAUCUUGUGUUCAGAUUGAAAAAUUU